rnacentral:rRNA from 1 species
UACGGAGGGUGCAAGCGUUAUCCGGAUUCACUGGGUUUAAAGGGUGCGUAGGUGGCUUUGUAAGUCAGUGGUGAAAGCCCGGAGCUCAACUCCGGAACUGCCAUUGAUACUGCUUAGCUUGAAUCACGUCGAGGUGGAUGGAAUAAUACAUGUAGCGGUGAAAUGCUUAGAUAUGUAUUAGAACACCGAUUGCGAAGGCAGUUCACUAGGCGUGUAUUGACACUGAGGCACGAAAGCGUGGGGAGCAAACAGG